UCUUUCUUUUUAAAAAAAUCCCAAAUUAUAUCUUCUUUUAUGUCACGUUUGUCUUGCUCUCUCAGCUAUACCUUAGUGUCCAUUGAAUUUUACCUAGCACACUGACUUAGAUUUUUAAAUGUAUUUAGGCAUUUCUGUACUGAGCACAGCAAGGCUUGUAAUGCUGAACAGAGUAACACCUAAAUAUCUUUACAAAGAAAAAAAAAAAAAAGAGGGGGGCGUGAAGGGGGAGGGAGAGACAGCUGGCUGCAUGCUCCAGUUUCAUUGGUUAACCUCUCUACUAUCUGCCAGCACUUACAUAGGUUGCAUUUGGACGGACAGUGGCUGUAAACAGUGGAGAGAGUAAUGAGAUGAUCGCUUCACAAAACUGUAAAUCAGGUGGUAGUGCAGCUGGUGUUGGAUUAAUAAUGCUGUACCCCUUAGACACAAGAUGCUGGACUAGCAUAAAACCACUCUAUUUGAUUUAAGGUGGGUGUUGGUGGUGAGAAUAUAUAAAUAAAAGAGGGAAUAAUUUUAAUCUGGCAGGAUUGUGCAAGAUCAGGUGUCGGAUAUCUGCAUUUCUGCAUGAACCUUCUUGGGACAGCUCAAAGGCUCCUUUGCCAGUUCCUUCUUGCUCCUUUCCUCCUCUUGAUGCUGUUUUGUUAUAGAAGCCAAAUAUUUCCAGGAAAUUACUUUUUUGUGUAUUUGUAUAUGCAGGUUCGGGUGCAUAUUUUUCCUCUUUUGUUUGGACCUUUCCUGGAAUCCAUUUUUUUUUUUUUUUUAAUUGUAAGCUGUCUUGGCUCCAACAACAGCAGCUUCGAAGAAAUUCAGUGACGACAUAGUGUUACUGAUCAGACAGAGCCUGGACCGGAGCCACAGUGGAAAUCAUGUGCUUGGCAAGCAUACUCCCCAGGCUUUGCUUCAUGUGAUCCCAAGUGGACCAACUCAGAGGUAUUUGACCUGCCUGCUUGGAGUCUGUGGAAAACUUCUAUCAAAAACACCGUGGGAAGUCAAGUCAAUUAUGUUGUGUCACGUCUUUGCAAAUGUAUCAGCCUGACGGACAUCAAGCAGUGCAGCAUGGGGUUAAGAAUCUUGCCUGCAGGAAACCCAAUGGUAAAAAUGAAUGCUCCAGUUCUGACUGCCAUGACCCUAACUUGUCCAAGUUUGAAAUGCGAAGCACUCCUUCCCUUCUACCACAUCUGUACCCAUUGCACCUGAUUCUUACCUGAUGUUUGCCUAGGAUUUUCUCAUGGAAUAAUGAUGUGGUGGUUAAAAGCAAAUAUUUCAGUUUCAGCUUGAAAAUCAAGCCAUUAUUUAACUUUC